GUCACACCCGUUCCCAUCCCGAACACGGUCGUUAAGCUCUUCAGCGCCGAUGGUAAUUGGGGGCUUCCCCCUGUGAGAGUAGGACGCUGCCAGGC
rnacentral:rRNA from 1 species